rnacentral:tRNA from 1 species
GCAAUGGUGGUUCAGUGGUAGAAUUCUUGCUUUCCACGCAGGAUCUGGGUUCCAUUUCUGGCCAAUGCA